GGAAAAAUCAUGCACGCGGCCUGUCGUGUCAUACAAAUGCGUCACACUAACAGUCACACAUAAAUGAUUGAGGCACACCUGUAAGGUGCAGCACUCACGGUCAAGGUUACUUUGAGAAGAAAUGAGAGAGGGGUACGGUGUCAUCUUAUCGAUGUUGACGUAUGUGGUGUUGAGGAGGAUGUAGUGCUCGCCGCUGAAGCUGGAAAAGAUAGCAGUGAUGCGGGACUCUAGCUCUGAGAAGUGGAUCCGGGCAGAACUCUGGCUGUAGCAGUCUUCGGCCUUGUAGGAGGAAGACUGUGAUAUCGAAGGAGUUCACAUCAGAGUAAGGUGGGGCACCCC